rnacentral:rRNA from 1 species
UACGUAGGGUGCAAGCGUUGUCCGGAAUUAUUGGGCGUAAAGGGCUCGUAGGCGGUCCAUCGCGUCGGGAGUGAAAAGCUGGGGCUCAACCCCAGUCCUGCUUCCGAUACGGGUGGACUAGAGGUAUGCAGGGGAGAACGGAAUUCCUGGUGUAGCGGUGAAAUGCGUAGAUAUCUGGAGGAACACCGGUGGCGAAGGCGGCAUCCUGGACCGGUAUUGACGCUGAGGCGCGAAAGCUAGGGGAGCAAACGGG